rnacentral:rRNA from 1 species
GCAAGUCGUACGCGAACGACCUUUCGGGGUUAAGUAGAGUGGCGAACGGGUUAGUAACGCGUGGGAACAUACACAGCACAGGGGGAUAACCAUUGGAAACGAUGGCUAAUACCGCAUACGCCCUACUGGGGAAAGAUUUAUCGGUGUUGGAUUGGCCCGCGUUAGAUUAGCUAGUUGGUGGGGUAAUGGCUCACCAAGGCGACGAUUUAUAGCUGGUUUGAGAGGAUGAUCAGCAACACUGGAACUGAGACACGGUCCAGACUCCUACGGGAGGCAGCAGUCGGGAAUAUUGUGCAAUGGGGGCAACCCUGACACAGCCAUGCCGCGUGAGUGAAGAAGGCCUUAGGGUUGUAAAGCUCUUUCAGAUGUGAGGAUGAUGACGAUAGCAUCAGAAGAAGCUCCGGCUAACUUCGUGCCAGCAGCCGCGGUAAUACGAAGGGAGCUAGCGUUGUUCGGAAUUACUGGGCGUAUAGGGCGUGU